rnacentral:rRNA from 1 species
UACGUAGGGGGCAAGCGUUGUCCGGAAUUACUGGGCGUAAAGCGCACGUAGGUGGCGACGUAAGUCGGGUGUGAAAGCCCCGGGCUCAACCUGGGAAUUGCAUUCGAGACUGCAUUGCUGGAGUACGGAAGAGGAAGGCGGAAUUCCCGGUGUAGCGGUGAAAUGCGUAGAUAUCGGGAGGAACAUCAGUGGCGAAGGCGGCCUUCUGGUCCAGUACUGACACUCAAGUGCGAAAGCGUGGGGAGCAAACAGG